GUCAUCUGCAAAGAGUGAUAUAUCAGACAUGAUACCAUGUUUAAGAUAUGUAAGGUAGAUACUGAAUAAAAUAGAGAAUGUGCGAUUUGACAGGAAGUCUUCAAUCCACUUCACGACAUUGCCUCUGAUUCCAAAGGGCUCUAAUUUAGCAAUCAAUGGUGUGACAGGAACUCGAUCAAAAGCUUUUUCAUAGUCCAAGUAAAUAAUAUCUGUAGGUAUUCGUGCCUCCCAAUUUCUUGCACAAAACCAUGUUGCUCCUCGAUGAU